CUCUUUGAAGGUGUAAAGAGUCUGGCCUGCCCACUGAAUUAUUGAAGGGCCGCGGUAUUCAUGACCGUGCGAAGGUAGCAUAAUCAUUAGUCUUUUAAUUGAAGGCUUGUAUGAAGGGUUGGACGAGGUAAAAGCUGUCUCAGCCAAAGACUUGAUAUUAACUUUUAGGUGAAAAGGCCUAAAUGACUUGGAAAGACGAUAAGACCCUAUAAAUCUUGAUAUUAAUUUGAACUAGUCUUUUGAUUUAUAUAUAUGAAAAAGCACUAAUUCGCUAAUAUUCUGUUGGUGUGACAAAAAUAUAGCAAGAUUCCCUGUUUUAUGUUAAAUGCAAUUUUUUUGAGUAGUAUAAAGAUCCUUAUUAGAGAUUAAGAGAUUAAGUUACUUUAGGGAUAACAGCGUUAUUUUCCUCGAGAGUUCAUAUCGAAAGGAGAGUUUGCGACCUCGAUGUUGAAUUAAAAUUUCUCUGUGGUGCAGCAGCUACUUAAGAAAGUCUGUUCGACUUUUAAAAUUUUACAUGAUUU
rnacentral:rRNA from 1 species